AACGCUGGCGGCAGGCUUAACACAUGCAAGUCGAGCGGGCGUAGCAAUACGUCAGCGGCAGACGGGUGAGUAACGCGUGGGAACGUACCUUUUGGUUCGGAACAACACAGGGAAACUUGUGCUAAUACCGGAUAAGCCCUUACGGGGAAAGAUUUAUCGCCGAAAGAUCGGCCCGCGUCUGAUUAGCUAGUUGGUGAGGUAAUGGCUCACCAAGGCGACGAUCAGUAGCUGGUCUGAGAGGAUGAUCAGCCACAUUGGGACUGAGACACGGCCCAAACUCCUACGGGAGGCAGCAGUGGGGAAUAUUGGACAAUGGGGGCAACCCUGAUCCAGCCAUGCCGCGUGAGUGAUGAAGGCCCUAGGGUUGUAAAGCUCUUUUGUGCGGGAAGAUAAUGACGGUACCGCAAGAAUAAGCCCCGGCUAACUUCGUGCCAGCAGCCGCGGUAAUACGAAGGGGGCUAGCGUUGCUCGGAAUCACUGGGCGUAAAGGGUGCGUAGGCGGGUCUUUAAGUCAGGGGUGAAAUCCUGGAGCUCAACUCCAGAACUGCCUUUGAUACUGAGGAUCUUGAGUUCGGGAGAGGUGAGUGGAACUGCGAGUGUAGAGGUGAAAUUCGUAGAUAUUCGCAAGAACACCAGUGGCGAAGGCGGCUCACUGGCCCGAUACUGAC
rnacentral:rRNA from 1 species